rnacentral:rRNA from 1 species
GACGAACGCUGGCGGCGCGCUUAACACAUGCAAGUCGAACGGAAAGGCCUGCUUUCCCUUGUGGAUUGCGGGUACUCGAGUGGCGAACGGGUGAGUAACACGUGAGUGAUCUGCCCCCAACUUGGGUAUAAGCCUGGGAAACUGGGUCUAAUUCCCGAUAGGACUGCAGGGUGGUGCCUGUGGUGGAAAACGAUUUUCUAGUGGUUGGGGAUGAGCUCGCGGCCUAUCAGCUUGUUGGUGGGGUAAUGGCCUACCAAGGCGGCGACGGGUAGCCGGCCUGAGAGGGUGGACGGCCACAUUGGGACUGAGAUACGGCCCAGACUCCCACGGGAGGCAGCAGUGGGGAAUAUGGCACAAUGGGCGGAAGCCUGAUGCAGCGACGCCGCGUGGGGGAUGACGGCCUUCGGGUUGUAAACUCCUUUCGACCGCGAGGAAGCCACCUGGUUGGAAGGGUGGUGACGGUAGUGGUAGAAGAAGCACCGGCUAACUACGUG